AAAGAGCUCGUAGGCGGUUUGUCGCGUCUGCUGUGAAAAUCCAAGGCUCAACCUUGGACCUGCAGUGGGUACGGGCAGACUAGAGUGCGGUAGGGGAGAUGGGAAUUCCUGGUGUAGCGGUGGAAUGCGCAGAUAUCAGGAGGAACACCAAUGGCGAAGGCACAUCUCUGGGCCGUAACUGACGCUGAGGAGCGAAAGCGUGGGGAGCGAACAGGAUUAGAUACCCGUGU
rnacentral:rRNA from 1 species